rnacentral:rRNA from 1 species
CCUACGGGUGGCAGCAGUGGGGAAUAUUGCACAAUGGGGGAAACCCUGAUGGAGCGACGCCGCGUGAGUGAAGAAGGAUUUCGGUACGUAAAGCUCUAUCAGCAGGGAAGAAAAUGCCGGUACCUGACUGAGCAGCCUCCGCUAACUACGUGCCAGCAGCCGCGGGAAUACGUAGGGGGCAAGCGUGAUCCGGAUUUACUGGGGGUAAAGGGAUCGUAGACGGUCGCGCAAGUCUGGAGUGAAAUCCCAUGGCUUAACCAUGGAACUGCCUUGGAAACUGUGCAGCUAGAGUGCAGGAGAGGUAAGCGGAAUGCCUAGUGUAGCGGUGAAAUGCGUAGAUAUUAGGAGGAACACCAGUGGCGAAGGCGGCUUACUGGACUGUAACUGACGUUGAGGCUCGAAAGCGUGGGGAGCAAACAGGAUUAGAUACCCGGGUAGUC